GAAAUUUGGGAAAAACUAUCUUGGUGUUCAAUUGGGCAGAAUCAUAAUCUCCUUGAGGGUUUCAAGAACCCUAACACUUAUUUCUAUUCUCAAUUUGAUUCUUUGCUGAUUUGGGGAUUUUAUUUCAGAUCUGGAAAUUCAAAGUUCUAAUCUUUUAAUUUUUCUGUUUCGUUUCGGAUCUGAUUGUUUAGGGUUUUCGUAGGAGUUUCUCGUGACUUGGCAACUCGAUCUUGGUCCGCGCGCAACCCCGUAUCAUUUGGUAUCAGAUUUUGGGCGUUUUGGGUGUUCUUGGUUGAUUUCUAAACUGAUCUCUAUUUUUUAAAGCAUAAACAGCAGUUUUACC
rnacentral:lncRNA from 1 species